rnacentral:lncRNA from 1 species
UGGUCCGGUUGCACUCUUCCUAUCGCCCAGAGGGCGAGAGGGCCUGUGGCCUGGGGGAAGGAGGACGAGGUUCUGCCUGGAUCCCAGCAGGACGCUGUGCCAUUUGGGAACAAAGGAAUAGUCUGCCUGGAAUCCUUGCAGAUCUUGGGGCCGGAGGCCAGUCCAACCCUUGGAGCAGGAAGAAACGCAAAGUUGUCAAGAACCAAGGUCCUUGGUGUUGGUCCGUCGACCAAGCACUCACUUCUGAAGUUUGUCAGUCUUGAAGGUUUAGUGGAAGCGGAAACCGAGGUGAGAGAGGUAAGAAAUUGCUCCGGAGCAGAGGUAGUUGGUAUAAUGACACGGGGUGGGGGGGGUGGGGGGGCGGCGGUGUCCUGGUACCUUUGAGAUGGAGGAGUUGGCGGAGGCAAGGGCGGAGUUGGAGACCUUUAGGCAUUUCACGCCAGUACGGCUUUUAGAUAUUCUCACUUCAUUUUGUUACAAGGAAAAUGUUAACGAUGAAAAU